UUCGCAAUGCCCGAAAGGGUGACGAAGCGACGCCGCGUGUGGGAAGAAGGCCUUCGGGUUGUAAACCACUGUUGGGAGUUAGGAAAUGUGGAGGUGUUAAUAGCGCUUUCACUUGACUAAAGCUCCAGAGGAAGCCACGGCUAACUCUGUGCCAGCAGCCGCGGUAAUACAGAGGCGGCAAGCGUUGUUCGGAAUUAUUGGGCGUAAAGAGCACGUAGGCGGCUCUGCAAGUCAGCUGUGAAAGCCUUCUGCUUAACGGAAGAACGGCAGUUGAAACUACAGGGCUUGAGUGCGGGAGGGGAGAGUGGAACUUCUGGUGGAGCGGUGAAAUGCGUAGAUAUCAGAAGGAACGCCGGCGGCGAAAGCGGCUCUCUGGUCCGUAACUGACGCUGAGUGUGCGAAAGCUAGGGGAGCAAACGGGAUUAGAUACCCCGGUAGUCCUAGCCGUAAACGAUGGGCACUAAGUAGAG
rnacentral:rRNA from 1 species